AAAAAAAAAAGGGUGUAUAAUAAUAUUUUUAAAUAUUAGUAUAGGUAAAAAAAAAUACUGCUAGUUAAAUUAACGACACUUUUAAAAGUAUUGCUAUAUAUGGAGUCGCUAUAUACACUACAACAAAAAUGGUCUAUAGCGACACUUGUAAAUGUCGGUAUAGGUCAAAAAAGUGCUGCUGGCUAAAUUUACCGACACUUUUGAAAAGUGUUGCUAUAUGUGGGAUCGCUAAAUAUAUAGUGACAAUUAAAGAGUGUUGCUAUAAUCUAAAAGAGUGCUGCUAAUUUACCAACAUUUAUUUAAGUAUUUAGCAACCGCCGGAACUCUACCUCGUUGGCUGCCGUGGCGAAGGCGGACGAGAGGAAAUGAUCUUCGUCUAGGAUUUCAGUCGAUUGAGUGAGGGGAGAAGGGAAAAUGAUAAUCGAGUUUUCUUUUCUUUUUCUUUUUUGUUUGUAAUCAGACCGAAUGGGCUAAGUGGUGUGGGUUGAGGAGAGUACCCUUUUAUUUUUAGUUGGAUUGGACUUUAUAUUUAGGCAUUAGCAGAAUUUUUUUAAAUUUUGGCAUAAAUGUGACACUUAUACAAAAGUGUCCCAAACAUGUGUCGCUAUAACCUAAUUCUGUUGUAUAUAUAGAUAGGACAGUCUUGAUAUUUCGCAUCCACUCCUUUAGCAAUCUGUGGCGGAGAAAUACGUGGCAAUCGUAAUCCUCUACGGUCCCUGUGAGAUCCUCGCGACCGAACUCCAGCCGCCGGAACCUUAUCUCGUCGGCUACGGCGGCGGAGGAGGAGAAGGGGAGAUAGUAAUCUUUUUUUUUUUUAUUUGUAAUUGGGCCGAGUGGAUUCGGUGUGGUUGGUUGAGUAGAGAAACUUUUUGUUUUUGAUUGGAUUAGACUUUAUACUUUAUAUUUAGAUUUUAGUAUAUAUUUUUUUAAAAAAAUGGGCAUAAAUCAGACACUUAUAU
rnacentral:lncRNA from 1 species